rnacentral:rRNA from 1 species
UACGGAGGGUGCAAGCGUUAAUCGGAAUUACUGGGCGUAAAGCGCACGUAGGUGGUUUGUUAAGCUAGAUGUGAAAGCCCCGGGCUCAACCUGGGAAUUGCAUUUAGAACUGGCAAGCUAGAGUAGGGUAGAGGGGUGUGGAAUUCCAGGUGUAGCGGUGAAAUGCGUAGAUAUCGGGAGGAACACCAGUGGCGAAGGCGACUACCUGGACCAGCACUGACACUGAGGCACGAAAGCGUGGGGAGCAAACAGG